rnacentral:rRNA from 1 species
GUGGGGAAUCUUCCGCAAUGGACGAAAGUCUGACGGAGCAACGCCGCGUGAGUGAAGAAGGUUUUCGGAUCGUAAAGCUCUUUCGUUAGGGACGAACGUGCUCUUUGUGAAUAAUGAGGAGUAAUGACGGUACCUAAAUAAGAAGCCACGGCUAACUACGUGCCAGCAGCCGCGGUAAUACGUAGGUGGCAAGCGUUGUCCGGAAUUAUUGGGCGUAAAGCGCGCGCAGGCGGGAUAUCAAGUCUGUCUUAAAAGUGCGAGGCUCAAGCUAGGGAGGGGACAGAAACUGGUAUUCUUGAGUGUCGGAGAGGAAAGUGGAAUUCCAAGUGUAGCGGUGAAAUGCGUAGAGAUUUGGAAGAACACCAGUGGCGAAGGCGACUUUCUGGACGAUGUCUGACGCUGAGGCGCGAAAGCUAGGGGAGCGAACGGGAUUAGAAACCCCUGUAGUCC